UUUAGUGUCGAUGGUAGGCAUUGAGACAGCUGCUGUGCUCUGUACUUCUUUCGUCCUUGGUGCCGCUGACUUCAGGACUCCUUGGUGCAUCCCUCUAAUGUGUAUAUUAUAUUAUACAUGUGAAUGUGUGAAUGUAUGUCGUUACGCCAUGGCACAGCGGCGCCAGGACGUUACACGUAGACGCUACGUUGUGCUUAGGAGGUGCUUCUUGCCGUGGGAACGGUGUUGAUUCAGCAAGCCUGGUGCCCCGGCCCGCUCCUGCGCCGGGAGAAGCCGGCAGAUAUUAGCGGGCGGCGGGCGAGAGCAGAGGACUUCUCGGGGUGUGCGUACGACUUACGACUCGUCCACAAAAUACUCUCAGUAUGCGCCUGACAAAUGAGGGAGGUGGACAUGCCUGAUUUUGCUGCAGGCGCUCUCAUUUAUGACCACAUGGAUGAAAUAUCAAAUAUCCCGUCGACUACAUUUUAUGGCAGACAGAUUGACAGGCUACGUGCAAGAGAUCAAGAAUAUGCGCAAGAAAUCAACCUAGAAAAUGAAGAAAGUGAUGUGGAACCUGAAGAAGAGGAGGUAGAUGACCCUGUCAUGCCCACAAAUCUACUCACUGAUACAGCACAGACUGAAGAUAUUCAUGCUGAAAGGGCUACCUUUGAUGCAGAAGCAUACCUGCCACUCUCAGAAGAUGAUACUGUUGUUUUGGAGGUUGCAGAAGCUACAGUGGACAAUGAAUUUCUAGUUCAGUUCUAGUUAAGGAGUUGAAAAUGUUAUUUUUUUACUAUAUCAGUAUUUGAUGCAAAAUGACAUCAAAACUGCUUUAUAUGUACAUUGUAACCACUGUUUAACAAAAAUAAACACUUAAUCAAGUCAAAGACGAC